UACGUAGGGGGCAAGCGUUGUCCGGAUUUAUUGGGCGUAAAGAGCGUGUAGGCGGCUUUACAGGUCCGUUGUGAAAACUCGAGGCUCAACCUCGAGACGCCGGUGGAAACCGUAAGGCUAGAGUCCGGAAGAGGAGAGUGGAAUUCCUGGUGUAGCGGUGAAAUGCGCAGAUAUCAGGAGGAACACCGAUGGCGAAGGCAGCUGCCUGGCCUAGAACUGACGCUGAGGUGCGAAAGCGUGGGGAGCGAACAGG
rnacentral:rRNA from 1 species